rnacentral:rRNA from 1 species
UACGUAGGGGGCAAGCGUUGUCCGGAAUUAUUGGGCGUAAAGAGCUCGUAGGCGGUUUGUCGCGUCUGCUGUGAAAAUCCAGGGCUUAACCCUGGACCUGCAGUGGGUACGGGCAGACUGGAGUGCGGUAGGGGAGAUCGGAAUUCCUGGUGUAGCGGUGAAAUGCGCAGAUAUCAGGAGGAACACCGGUGGCGAAGGCGGAUCUCUGGGCCGUAACUGACGCUGAGGAGCGAAAGCAUGGGGAGCGAACAGG